rnacentral:rRNA from 1 species
UGGGGGAUAUUGCACAAUGGGCGAAAGCCUGAUGCAGCGACGCCGCGUGGGGGAUGAAGGCCUUCGGGUUGUAAACUUCUUUUGCUCUGAACAAGGCGCACCAUGGGGUGUGUUGAGUGUAGGGGUUGAUUAGCGCCGGCUAACUACGUGCCAGCAGCCGCGGUAAUACGUAGGGCGCGAGCGUUGUCCGGAAUUAUUGGGCGUAAAGGGCUUGUAGGUGGCUGGUUGCGUCUGUCGUGAAAGCUCAUGGCUUAACUGUGGGUUUGCGGUGGGUACGGGCUGGCUUGAGUGCAGUAGGGGAGGCUGGAAUUCCUGGUGUAGCGGUGGAAUGCGCAGAUAUCAGGAGGAAUACCGGUGGCGAAGGCGGGUCUCUGGGCUGUUACUGACACUGAGGAGCGAAAGCAGGGGGAGCGAACAGG